ACUGGCCUGAAUCCACCUGUAUCCUUAUCUGUAUUCUUAUCUUGUUUACAGGUUGUUUGGUUUUGUUUUGUUUGCACUGAUCUUUGCUUCUGGAGUAAACCGAAGUCCAAAUUGUCGUUUUGAUCGUUUUUGGCUUGGUGGAAUACAGAUGUCCACUGACCACCCGGAAGUUAGCUGCACACACAAGAAUUAAGGGUAUAUCACACACUGCCAAGCUGUGUCCAAAUGGAGCAACAAAGAAUAAUAAUUGGUCGUUUCACAUAACUGAACCUCAAGUAUAUCCUCGUCCAGCUGCGUCACAAAGCUGUAUCACCUUCCAUCUACUGGCCGGUUUGCUUCACCCACAUGACCAUUAUCCCAUCCCGUGCUUCUACCCUCCCAUAAUUACCCCAGAGUUUCAACUUAUCCACUUGCCAUUUGAAUGGCUUCCUUUUGUAAACCCCUUGCUCAUGUUCCUUGUCUGUUUUGUGUGAUCAUCUUUUUUCUUUCUGACUUAGAACGCUUUAUUACUAAGAACAUCAACUAGCUGAUUGCUGCACGUGGUGCAAGUUGUUUACCUGCUUUUCAUUUUGUUUUGGUUAUUUCAUGUAUUGUCUUAUUAUUUAUACAGACUUAUCAACUACGUAUGUAUUUUUUCCAACACUGGAAAGAAUUAUAUGACACCAGUUAAAUAAAUAUGGUUUUCUGA